rnacentral:rRNA from 1 species
UACGGGAGGCAGCAGUGGGGAAUAUUGCACAAUGGGCGCAAGCCUGAUGCAGCCAUGCCGCGUGUAUGAAGAAGGCCUUCGGGUUGUAAAGUACUUUCAGUCGUGAGGAAGGUGUUAAGGUUAAUAACCUUAGCAAUUGACGUUAGCGACAGAAGAAGCACCGGCUAACUCCGUGCCAGCAGCCGCGGUAAUACGGAGGGUGCGAGCGUUAAUCGGAAUUACUGGGCGUAAAGGGCACGCAGGCGGUUAAUUAAGUUGGAUGUGAAAUCCCCGGGCUUAAACCUGGGAAUGGCAUUCAAGACUGGUUAGCUAGAGUCUUGUAGAGGGGGUAGAAUUCCAUGUGUAGCGGUGAAAUGCGUAGAGAUGUGGAGGAAUACCGGUGGCGAAAGGCGGCCCCUGGACAAAAGACUGACGCUCAUGUGCGAAAGCGUGGGGAGCAAAACAGGGAUUAGAUACC